rnacentral:lncRNA from 10 species
CUCAUGAUAGUGAAUAAGUCUCACGAGAUCUGAUGGGUUUAUCAGGAGUUUCCACUUUUGCUUCUUCCUCAUUCUCUCUUGGUGCCACCAUGUAAGAAGUGCCUUUCACUUCCUGCCAUGAUUCUGAAGUCCCCCCAGCCAUGUGGAACUGAUACCCCAUGGUUCUCCUACCACCAGAUGCUACUGAGGCUAAACUGACUGGACUGAGGAAAAAUAUCUGUGGGGAAAACUUUCUUUCAGAAUCCAACUUUGAACCAGAGAAAUCCAUUCUCUUGAAGCUGUCUGCUGUGGAGAAGUUGGCCUUACCAAUCUGCCUUUGAAGUUCAAGUUAUACAGGAUCUGCGAGGCUACCUGUGAAUGAAUGGUUGGUUGGUCACUACUUGCAAGUUUUUCAGGAGCUCCUGAAAGAUUACUGCAUAAAUAAGGGAAGAUGGAGACCAGACCUCUGGCUACUGUUGCUGCCACCACUACAGAUACCACCUUCACCCUUAUGAACCCCCUAUUUACUGAACAUUCUCUAUAUGCCAGAUCAUCAUGGGAGUGGAACAGUGGCUUUAUAAGAAGAGGAAGAGAGACCUGAGGUAGAACACUCAGCGCCCUUGCCAUGUGAUGCUCUGUACUGCCUUGGGACUCUGCAGAGUCUCUCUACCAGCAAGAAGGUCCUCACCAGAUGCAGUCCCUUGACCUUGGCCUUCUUAGCUUCUACAACUGUCAUAAAUAAUUUUUUCUUUAUAAAUUACCCAGUUUUGGGAGUUCUAUUAUAAGCAAUAAAAACCAG